UUGGAUCUUUCUGUAAUAAAAAUAAUUAUAGCGAUAAAAAUGUAAUUUUUACAGAUAGUAGUUGGAAGUUGGAACUAAAGACUUAAACUAAUUUAAACAAACUGCAUGACUUGCAUAGUUGCAUGGUGCCAGAAACAGUGGUUGCAGAAAGCCAGAAAUCUAAAUCACUUUACUGUUCUCACGUUUGCCUGAAUGCAAAUCAAAAGUGCCACCAUCUGCAUCUAGCUCUAGGGCUGAGAUCGGCGCCGCCACCGCUCGCUCUGGUGUUAGGUUAUCCUGAGACCCAUCUUGAAAUUAGACCGGGGCAAUAGGGGGCAUGAGACAACGACCAAGAACUUCAAUAUUAAUGUAAUUGCUCGUUUUUUUUACAACUUUAUAGUCCCUUUUUGAUUACCCGUACGAAUUUUGAAUACCGUCUGAAUCUGGUUACAGGGACCCACGUCUACCUUUUGAUUUUCCGCCGCUGUAAAUAGGCUCUCACUCCAUUUCACUUCUCAUUCAUUUUUCUCACUCCAUUAUUCUAAGAGCCGGAUCAUCUUCCUCUUCCUUGCUACCAUCCUCCCCCACAGACUCUGGGAUGUCAUCUCUCAACGACUACGUCGACAGCCUCAACCUCGAAGGUAACUCUCUUUCCUCCGUAAAAAACCCCCCUUCUGCCUUGAGCCUCCGUCGUUCCCGCCAUUACUGCUGGCACCUUUUCUUACCUGAGAACUCGACCGCUCAUGUCCGUGCGCCGGAAGACUACCUUGCCUGUGCUCCCCCUGACUACACAACCCUUUACGGAGGUUACGCCGACAUCGGCCUUCAUCAUUCUGCAUCCCCCUUUCUCCUCUUCUUCCUCCUAUAUACUCGCAUAGCUCUUUUCCAGAUCCCCUUGCUAGCCUCGAGCGAGUCGUUAUGUUUGAGAUGCUAUGCUCCCAACUCAAGCUGGAGCCGUCCGAGGGAAUUUUCUGCCUUCUCUUCUCGAUCUCCCGGCCAAACCCCACACGCUUGGGUGUUGCUUCUCGCACGAGGUUUCAGGUCCUCGUUGACUUCCCCGAUCAGUCUCACAAGUGGAAAAAUACUACUUUUUUGCUAAGACUUGCGCACUCGGCCUCCCUGACGUCCCUGAGGUGUGGAAGGAUACUCACGUUUUUUAGGGGCAUGCCAUGUCCGUCGAUAGUCUCACGACCGAAAAGGGCGUGCUCUAUGCCCGGAUGUUGGUCAUAGAGAACGAUCGACCAAUUUCGUUUCUGAACCUUUGGUCCAGGGCCUAGAUCACUAGCUCCCAUCCGCACCUUGUUACUCUCGAUAAUUUUUUUUUCUUGCUUCUUUCUUUUCAGGUUCCACUGACGAUGAGGAGGCCCUAAUGGGUUCCAAUACAACUACUACUCCGGUGACGUCAACAACUCCAUCAACCCUGAAAUUUGCAAGAUUUUGUUAUUGAGAGACCUAAUGACUCAAUUUGGAUGAUUUUGUGAAUUAUAAUCUUGUAACAUGUAGCUUGGGAGAAUUGUAUACAAUUUUAGUCUUUUAAUUUUUUAAUUUUUUUAUAGGGUCUUUUUAUAUAUUGUGCAAGUUUUAUCAAAAUGAUAUUCACCGGACC
rnacentral:lncRNA from 1 species